rnacentral:lncRNA from 1 species
UUUGUCUAAUAAUUCUCCUGUGUUGAUGUACUACACAACCUUCCAGCAGGGACGGAAGCACUGCCCUCACACACACACAAUUCAAGUUGUGUACAGCUUUGCAGCCCACUGGAUUUUGCCAAAAUGGUGAAAGUCAUGAAUACUCCCCAAGAGAAGAGGGAAGGGGAUCAAAGCAGAGCUGCAAAAAUCAAUACACUUUUGGACAAGAGGGUGGUAGUACUGCCUUCCCACCACUGGAUGAGGCUUCAGUGCAAGUAAAACUGAGAUGAUCUGGACAAGACAGGUGGGGUGAAGGUAUGUUUGUGGGUACUUUGUAAAUGUAACUAUGAACAAGUCACC